UCCAGCCCUGUGGACUGUAGCACUAUCAGCAGAUCAUAUGUGGCACUGACAGAAUCAGGGCAAGUUUCUCACGUUGGCCCUGCCACUGAACCUCAACCCUAAACUGCAGGAACCACCUUUUAAAAGGUGAGAGAGUAGUUCAGUCUCACUCAGUCCUUGGCCUUUCUGCUGAG
rnacentral:sRNA from 1 species